CAGAUACAACGCUGAACUUGGUCUUCAAGCUUCCUAUUGCUUUCUAGUAAACGAUUGAGCUAAAGAGGGGAAAAAAGGACGAAAGUUUGGCAACGUACCAUGGGAGCUGCUGAGAUACCAUACUCACUUGGGAACCUGCAGAUGGGAUUCUGGAAAAGUGGCAGAAGCCCGAGAAGGGUAAGAAUUCUUACCAAAGUCAGCUCUCCUGGAUCUCAGUCUGGUGCAGUUGAGAGAGGAAGGUAAAAAUUUCACCUUGUCCCUUCUUUUCCAAAUUGAGAUUAGCAGGAGAAAAUAUUUGUGUCGGCUAGUUCCUUAGGUAUUGUGACUUUGGUAGAGACUCUUGUUAUGAGUAUUUUUGUCUUCUACCGGUCCUCUUUCCUCCCAGAGAUGGUCAUUGUUUUCUUUUCUGUCUUUUGUGUUGUCAUAAGGAGAACCAUAGGACUGAUGAGAUUUUCCUUUUGUUUUAUUCUGUCUUGAGAGCUUGGCUUUAUGACCAGUGAGAAUAUUCUCUCUGGUCUCUGCCAGCUGGAUGAUGCAUGUGUCUGCAUGCAUCUGGUGACCACCUGAAUAGGCUGGGGAUCCGAGACACUAACUGCUAAGCAGCAUUCUCUGAUGGGAGCGGCUCUCGUGGGUGUCUAUCAUAAGGGCCCCUUGUCAUCUCAACCUUCUUGUCUUAUUUAGGGCUGGAAAAGUCCUAUUCCAGUAGUGCUUACCCAGUGUCGCAGGUUUGUAACUGAAGGCAUAUCAACCUUCUUGUCUUAUUUAGGGCUGGAAAUGUCCUAUUCCAGUAGUGCUUACCCAGUGUCGCAGGUUUGUAACUGAAGGCAUAUGACAUUCUUAUGGGAAACUGGAGACACUUUUCACGACCCCAUGCUUACCACCUGUGACAAUGAAGGUCUUUGCUUUCUUAGGCUAACUCUGGGAGUGAGCUUUCUGAAUCUUGUGAGGGCUGCAUCUUUUGCACCCCUUUUCGGGGAUGCCUCUUGCAUCCAUGGUUAAGCCGUAAAAAGGCUUAUAGAGGGGCUUCCCUGGUGGCGCAGUGCUUGAGAGUCCGCCUGCCGAUGCAGGGGACACGGGUUCGUGCCCCGGUCCAGGAAGAUCCCACGUGCCGUGGAGCGGCUGGGCCCGUGAGCCAUGGCCGCUGAGCCUGUGCUCCGCAACGGGAGACGCCACGACAAUGAGAGGCCUGCGUACGGCCAAAAAAAAAAAAAAAAAAAAAGGCUUAUAGGUUUGAGUUGCUAUUGAGAUUAAUAUAAGAUCCUACUACUCAUCAAUGGCCAAAUGAUGGAUCUUUUGAAUUGGAAAAACUUCUGUAUUUAAACAUUUUUUAGAGAGCUCUCAGCCUAAACAACUGUCUUCUUGGGAUCUAUGGAAAGACCAACUUGAAAGGAGGACAUGAAGGAGUAUGGUGGCCAGCCUUGGGGACGUCCUUAGUAAGAUGAAAUUACAAAGCUCUUUUUACCUCCACUUUCAGAAGAUAUCUACCAAAUUUAGAGAAGAGUUAAAAAGAUUAGUGGCCCUUCAGUUCCCCACUCAUAGGGACCUUAAUUGGCUGCUAAGGGGUGUUCUUCACACCCAUGAUUAUACUGUAGUUAUCAGACAAGCCAGAUGGCCCCCUAGGGAAAACAGGCACACUCACACGGGCAGCAUGACCAGAAUUCCUCCCAAAUUAUCAGGAAAUGGAUCAGCUGAAGGCCAAUAUUCAGGGGCUGACAGAAGCAAUAGUAGGGGCUUUUUUCUCUAAGGUGAAUUGGUCCAAGGUUGAAUUGUGCACUCAGAAAAAGGAGAGCAUUCAAAGGCCUUUGUUGAACGCUUUAUACAGACUUUGUAAAGGCAUGCUGCAUUAAGCCGUGAAACUGCAGAACAUAGAAAUCAUUUGAUUUCCAUCUUAAUUGGAAAUCUCCCUGAUAUAAAGCAAAUUGAAGAAAAUGUAGUUGGAUGGGCAGGUCAGUCCCUUGAUGCCAUUCAGGCUGCAAUCCAAUUUUUUGAGGAAUUAAAAGCAACUGUCUUUGUCUUGCAAAUCUUCACAAAACCAGAAAUUCGGCUCUAGAAAGCAAUUCAAAGUUCACCUAUUCUAACCAUUCCAAAACCUGCCCUAUUUAAUCUCAAAAUACUUGUAGGUAUUAUAAAAGACCAGGUCACUGGAAACAGAACUGUUCUGUACUUAGAAAAGUAAGAAAAAAUUUAAAGGGUAAUUACUCUAAACCUCUGAUAAUAGGUAAAGUACCCCCAAAACUCUAGGACAAAAAACUUACUUUCUCUGUCCCUUUGAGAUGCAAAUUUUCUACCCCACCUUCUCUAGGACCUGAUAGCCAGCUCUUAGAAAUGCAAACUUUAGGAAAAGGAAGCUCAUCAGAAGUUAGUUAAAAAAAGGAGCUUUUUUGAAAUUGGACAAAUGAAAAAAGCAAAACAAAAAAACCGCACAAAUAUUAGUUUAAAAGAAAAAAAACAAAAGCUGUAGCACUCUGAGCAGGUAAGCGUAUUCAAACUGCCAGAAACACAGUUCAGCUCCAACUGUUCUUCUAUAAGCUAGUGAGUUUUGUGUCACUGUACCUAAUUCAUGGCUAAAAUUCUGGAACCAAAGCUAUAAGGUCUUUGGUUUGCAUCUGUAUGUUUACAUGUGUUUAUAUAUGUAUGUUAUAAAUGUGUGAUAUCUUUCUACCUCUGAAUGGUACUGCCAAGAUUAAUUCAUAAAAACUAUUCAACUGGCUUAAAGAAAAAUAAGUGCUUUUCAAAUGAAAUAUUCCUAAAACCCUCAGAAAUAUAGAAACUAACCCCCAAUUUUUUUCAAGUUCACAUGAUCUGGGAUAAUCUUUGGUAAAUAAAAGCUGGGUUAAAUCAAGGCAGUAUGGUACUGGCACAAAAACAGAAACAUGGAUCAAUGGAACAGGAUAGAAAGCCCAGAGAUAAAGGAGGCGAGAAUAAACAAUGGAGAAAAGACAGCCUCUACAAUAACUGGUGCUGGGAAAACUGGACAGGUACACGUUAAAGAAUGAAAUUAGAACACUCCCUAACACCAUACACAAAAAUAUAACACCAUACACAAAAAUAAACUCAAAAUGGAUGAAAGACCUAAAUGUAAGGCCAGACAUUAUCAAACUCUUAGAGGAAAACAUAGGCAGAACACUCUAUGACAUCAAUCACAGCAAGGUCCUUUUUGACCCACCUCCUAGAGAAACGCAAAUAAAAACAAAAAUCAACAAAUGGGACCAAAUGAAACUUAAAAGCUUUUGCACAGCAAAGGAAACCAUAAACAAGACGAAAUAUUUGCAAAUGAAUCAACGGACAAAGGAUUCAUCUCCAAAACAUACAAGCAGCUCAAUAUCAAAAAAAACAACUCAAUCCAAAAAUGGGCAGAAGACUUAGACAUUUCUCCAAAGAAGGUAUACAGAUUGCCAACAAACACAUGAAAGGAUGCGCAACAUCACUAAUCAUUAGAGAAAUGCAAAUCAAAACUACAAUGAGGUAUCACCUCAUGACGGUCAGAAUGGCCAUUAUCAAAAAAUCUACAAACAAUAAAUGCUGGAGCGGGUGUGGAGAAAAGGGAACACUCUUUCACUGCUGGUGGGAAUGUAAAUUGAAACAGCCACUGUGGAGAACAGUCUGGAGGUUCCUUAAAAAACUAAAACUAGAACUACCAUAUGACCCAGCAAUCCCACUACUGGGCAUAUACCCUGAGAAAACCAUAAUUCAAAAAGAGGGGGCUUCCUUGGUGGCACAGUGGUUGAGAUUCCGCCUGCCAAUGCACAGGAUACGGGUUUGUGCCCUGGUCUGGGAGGAGCCCACAUGCCGCGGAGCAGCUGGGCCCCUGAGCCACGGCCGCUGAGCCUGCGCUCCGCAACGGGAGAGGCCAGCGUACAGAAAAAAAAAAAAGGUUCUGAAGAACCUAGGGGCAGGACAGGAAUAAAGACGCAGACGUAGAGAAUGGACCUGAGGACACGGGGAGGGGGAAGGGUAAGCUGGGACAAAGAGAGAGUGGCAGGGACAUAUGUACACGAACAAAUGUAAAAUAGCUAGCUAGUGGGAAGCAGCCGCAUAGCACGGGGAGAUCAGCUCGGUGCUUUGGGUAAGCUGGGAUGAAGUGAGAGUGGCAUGGACAUACACACUACCAGAUGUAAAACAGAUAGCUAGUGGGAAGCAGCUGCAUAGCACAGGGAGAUCAGCUCGGUGCUUUGUGACCACCUAGAGGGGUGGGAUAGGGAGGGAGGAGAUAUGGGGAUAUAUGUAUAUGUAAAGCUGAUUCACUUUGUUAUACGGCAGAAACUAACACACCAUUGUAAACCAAUUAUACUCCAAUGAAGAUGUUAAAAAAAAUAAAUAAGAUACAAGGAUGUAAUGUAUAGCACAGAGAAUACAACCAUUAUUUUAUGAUAACUUUUAAAAAUGGAGUAUAAUCUAUAAAAAUAUCAAAUCACUAUGUUGAAUACCUGAAACUAAUAUAAUGUAAAAUCAAUUAUACUUCAACAGAAAACAAACAAACUGGGUUAAUUGGUUGGUUUAAUUAGGCAGGUCUUCAGAGUUAGCAACAUGAGAUAUAAUAGGGACAUGCAACCUUUAUUCUACCUGGGCUUACUAUUCAAAUACGUUCAUGUUAUCUCUGUUACAAAAUUUGUCAGGAAGAAUAACACCUUGGCAUGAUGGCUGAUUUUGUGUAAUGUCUCCUGGCGUUUGUGUGACGAGUCUAAACAAUUGUUGGGAGCGAGUGAUUUAGAUACAUGUCAGCGAGAUAAACGUUAGGUGAACUUAUCAGCAAUGAGUAUGUUUUAUGGUAUAUCUCUUACAGUUUUCCAAAUGUCUUUGGUAACUUGAAACUUUAGAGUUUUGCUAAGUUAAAUGAUAGGAAAUUCACUGAAUAUCUAGAUCAUUUCCAAAUAAGAUAAAAUACUGAAACAUUAAUUACUACACAUAGGUUUAUCUACUUCUGGCUUAUUACAGAAUGAAAGAUAUUUGGGGUAUAUUAUUGGGGUAUAUUAGUAAACAUAUCUUGUGCCACAAUGAAAAACUAUACUAUGAGGAAGUAUCUAUUUCUAGAAAUCAUGAAAUAUAUUCAUAAAUUUGCCAAUCUAAAGAAUGCUGGUUUAACAGACUGUAAGUGCUUAUUUAUUAGUUUUCACUAGAAAGUAAGGUUUCUAAGGAUUAUUAAAACGACUAGAAAUAAGUAUAUCAACCCUGUACAUGAGAAUUAGGAUGUGUUUUUGGCCAAGAGAAGUAGGGAGAUGCAUUUUUGUUAAGGGAAGUGAAAGUGAUUCUAUCUUAAAGUAAAGCUAUAGUUAUUUGAGUAGAAAGUAGGAGAAUAAAGGACAAACUAAAUGGAUACAGUAAGUUGGGAAGAGAGAGAAGGAGAAAAUUUUACGUUGUGUAGUCAAGCUGGCUAAAAUUGAAUAAAUUUAAGGGUUUUAAAAAUCAGCUUAAUAUCAACAGCGUAAUUACAUAAAACUAAAUUUUUUUUUUGCUAAAAGGACAGUUUUAUUGGGCUAUUGGUCUGCUCUGCUCCUGAUAAGAGAUAGAUUGUGAAAGGUUUUUCUUUACCUUUUUAAGUAAUCUGCCUAGAAAGCAAAGAUUUUGCAUUUUAUCAAAAUAAUUUCCUGUGCUUCAUGUUAUCUUUUAUCAUCAGGUCUUUGAUUAAAAGACUCAGUUUUAAGAUUAAGAGCUAACUUUUGCUCGCAAGUAUGUGACCUUCUGUAUUUGCCUUUGAAAUGUUUUUAACGGUCACUUUGGUUAACUGGAUAAUUAUUGUUUCAUAAUGAUUUAUGAUUCUAUUUAGUCAAGUGUCCAAAACCUUUUGAUAUUUUUGACAAACUUCCCCAAAUCAAAUUCUAAAUGAAAUCUUUUUGUCGUCAAACUAACUUUGGGAUUUUCCCCGGGGCCCCUGGAACAUCUCAAAAGAUGUGUGCUGUCUCUUUAUAAAAAGAUAUUAAACCACUUAGGCUUAUUUGAUAUGUUAAAUUAUGUGGGACACAUUGUCAAAUAAGAAUACUAAACCUUCUUGAUUCUACUUGUAUAGAUACAUGUUUCACCUUAUUCACAAAAAGGACUCUGACAAGUACUCUAGAACACAGGUUCCUGAUAACUUUAAGAUUGUAUAACUGAGCUGGGUGAGAAUUUCCAGAACUAAUGGAAAAAACUGAAUUCACGCAGAACAAAAAUUAAUAACGUGGGAUUGAAUGAAUUGAUGAAAAUGAUUAUAAUUUUUAUGACUUUUUGUUUAAACAUGUUUUGUUUCUCCAGAUUUAAGGAAAACUUUUCCGCUUAAGCUAUCUAUGAUUUACUGUAAUUUGGUGAAUUAUACCUUUGUAAGUAGAAUUGAGACAAUUUUUCUCCAUACCUGAUCCCUCCAGAAUUUAGAAACUCUUCGUGAAUAGUCUCAUUUUCAUGGUGAUAUAGUUAUUUGCACAACUUCAGUGAGAAUCUGUUCUCCUUGUAACAGGACACAAUUGGAAACAACUGACCUGGUACCUUGCUUAAAGGGUUCCAGACAGCCUUACUAGGUGAGUAAGGAAAGUCACUUCCUGGCAAGCCCAGGAACCUCAGAAUAUUUUGGGGACCUCAAGAAGAGAGGAAUUUGCCUAAAUUGGCAUAAUAACCUUAUCCUUGGUUACGGUGCUUUUCCUGAUAGCUUCCCUCCACCCCACAACAUCUUUAUUUUGUCUUUCGCCGGAAAUGGUUUUGAAGGUGGUGGCUUGGGCCAUUUGGGAGAGUUACUCAGUUUUCCUGGGUCUCUCCCACGUAUACAGGAGGUAUCCAUGUUAUGAAACUUCUGUUUCUCUCCUGUUCAUCUGUCUUUUAUAACAGUGGGUCUCAGCCAAGAACUUAGAAGGGUAGAGGGAAAAUUAUUUUUCCUUUCCUACAUCCUCCAGCUUCUUAAUGCAGGUAUAAAUAACACAAUUAUACACAGUGCUCAAUAACCUAAGAAAAGUGUUUUAUAUGAUAUUCAGUAGAAUUCACCUGAUCUUACCAUUUGAAGGAAACGACCCUUUCUAGAUGGGAGGCAGUGCUUUCACCUGGGCCUUCAGUACCAAACCACCAAGUCUCCCUGUUUCUGUGAGGUGAGAAAACAGAUGCCCAGAGCGUGGCGAGGUGACUUGCUGAUACCCUGCUAAUUUCUAGAUUCCAGUCCAGCUUUGCUGAGUCAUCACCCAGCCCCAGGCCCCCCCAUAACACCCCACUGUGGCCAGCCAGG